rnacentral:rRNA from 1 species
AUUGAACGCUGGCGGCAGGCCUAACACAUGCAAGUCGAGCGGAGCGGCGGACGGGUGAGGAAUGACUAGGGAUCUGCCUGGUAGUGGGGGAUAAAGUCAGGAAACGGGCGAUAAUACCGCAUACUAUCAGACUAGUCUAGGUCGGCUUAGCUAGUUGGUGGGGUAAAGGCCUACCACGUCGACGAUCCGUAACUGGACUGAGGGGAUGAUCAGUCACACUGGAACUGAGACACGGUCCAGACUCCUACGGGAGGCAGCAGUGGGGAAUAUUGGACAAUGGGCGAAAGCCUGAUCCAGCCAUGCCGCGUGUGUGAAGAAGGUCUUCGGAUUGUAAAGCACUUUAAGUUGGGAGGCGUUAUCAACAGAAUAAGCACCGGCUAACUUCGUGCCAGCAGCCGCGGUAAUAC